GAUGGAAGCAGAAAAGAAGAAGGUCAGGAAAAGAGAACAGAGGAGGUUGGAAGGAAAGGAGAUGGAAGCAGAAAAGAAAAAGAAGGUCAGGAAAAGAGAAGAGAGGAGGUCAGAAGGAAAGGAGAUGGAAGCAGAAAAGAAGAAGGUCAGGAAAAGAGAACAGAGGAGGUUGGAAGGAAAGGAGAUGGAAGCAGAAAAGAAAAAGAAGUUCAGGAAAAGAAAAGAGGAAGUUGGAAGGGAAAGAAAUGAAAGAAAGAGUAUGUUAUUCAGCAUUAUAUAAUGUAACAUUAAAAUAUGCUCAUAAGAACAGUCGAUUUUUUGUUAUGUUACAGACUAGAUUUCGGUGCAAAUAUUACUUGGAAUACUUUUAAAACUUAACAGAACAGAAGGUAAAUGUCAAGUAUCAUAUUUUUCUGAAUGUUUAUUCUUUUGUGUAGAUAAAACUUACUUGCAAUAAUAUCACGAGAUUUGUACAAUAUAUUUUAGUUUUUGUAAGUUCAUAGAUUAAGUAGGUUGAUGUUUUACUCUUCUAUAGGACCACAUAUUUGUGCUGUCUUCGGUUGUGUCAACAUCUCUGUUUAAUGGACAGUUUAGAUGUGUGAGGAAGGUGAGCAUAUACAGUGAAACUUAUAAGCUACACUUAUUUCAUUCAUAGAAGCAAUAUACUGCUACAAACUGUGGUGUAAACACUUCUCUUUUAUAGAUGAUCAUCCCAAACAGGGAUUUGUGGCUGUGUCCAUACAACACAGGAGGGCAUUGGAUUCUUGUGGUCUGUAAAUCUAACAAUAUUCAUAUAUUUAACAAUAUUCCACAUAAAUAUGCGACUAAAACAGAUAAACUGCAAUGAGUUACAGAUUGUGAAAAUGUCAGGAAAGGCCCUACUUGUUAUUGACCCCUUAAGGAAUGAGCAGAGAUACAGCAGGAGAAUCUUGAGAAACUGGAGGAAUUUCUUAAGGAUGAGAGAGGACCAAUUAAGCAGUGCAUCAUGGACAGUAGAAACACUGGGGCAUGAGCUGCAGGUGGAUGGGAGUAGCUGUGGAGUCCUUAUUUUAAAAUUUGUGGAUGAAUACCUUCAGUCUGGAUCGAUCUUUGAUGUGAAGACCGAUCCUGCAUCUGUGCAGGCUGCCAGACUACACAUUGCCUGCAAACUCAUUGAAAAUGGUGGCAGUGUUGAAGACUACUGCAUAGAAUGCAACAUGAUCAACCCUGACACAGACAGUGACAGUGUCAGCAUGGUGCAGUGCGACAUUUGUCUCCGAUGGGCACAUCAUGACUGUCUGAAAUCUGUUCCUGCAAAUGGAAAGGAAACUUACAUUUGCUUGAAGUGCAAAGAAUAAAGAAAAAAAGGUUGCAUUUUCUGAAGAAAAUGGGUGUGCUUGUGAGAUAGCAAAUAAUGAAGAAAUUAAGUGAUAAUGUGUUUGUGCGUACAUGUGUUGGGUGCCUAUUAUAAGCUACUCUACUUUUGAACAUAAUUAUAGUAGUCCAUUCUGAUAGAUAUUUCCUACCUGACAGAAUGAGCUACUCUACUUAUAAUCACAUUUAUAGAGGUAGUAGUCCAUUCUGAUAGAUAUUUCCUACCUGACAGAAUGAGCUACUCUACUUAUAACCACAUUUAUAGAGGUAACAGACCAUUCUGAUAGAUAUUUCCUACCUGACAGAAUGAGCUACUCUACUUAUAACCACAUUUAUAGAGGUAACAGUCCAUUCUGAUAGAUAUUUCCUACCUGACAGAAUGGGCUACUCUACUUAUAACCACUUUUAUAGAGGUAAUAGUCCAUUCUGAUAGAUAUUUCCUACCUGACAGAAUGAGCUACUCUACUUAUAAUUACAUUUAUAUAGGCUGUAUGUCUGCUUCAUACACAUAUCUGACCUGAGUAGAAUGUAGCGCAAACUUUCAGAACACAGGCACUCCAAUGCAAUCUCUAUGAGUUCCGGGAGGGCUUGCCCCAACGUGUUUUCGUCAUACGUAAACCACCAAGUAUCAUUCAUGUGCUCCUCGGAUGGUCCGACUUCCCAUGUCGGGAAGUCGUUCUUACUUCAUUGUGUGUUCAUGAGCGUUUAGGUGGUAAUGUGGAGACAUCAUGGACAUUACAAAGAAGAUGUGUUGUAUUUUAUCACUCAAAAUGUUUAAAAAACAUGUCGUCAACCGUUUCCACUGAAAUAUUGCUUUACGGUCGGAAACUCAUUUUUCCGAUUAUUCCGACAUCACAUGAAGCAGCGCCACUGCGCACCGGUCACAUUCAAGGUCAAAAUGGCUAACGUUUCCAGCUGAUCCAAGAGGUUUUUUAACCAUAUAGGUUAAAAAGAAACGACCCAUGGUGCGCCCAAAUUCACACCUGUGCGCUCCUCUCUAUGGAUUUUCUCCGUGACCGUUAGCGAGAAGCCACACAUAUCACAUGAAACAGCAGAACUGCAGCUUUGUCGGGCACUUGUCGGUAGUCCAAUGUUUUCACAGCGAAAAAGAAUGAUAAAGUUACACUAAAAUGAUGUAUAACAGAGCUAUCAUACAGCUUUGCACACACAUUACUCGCGAAUGCAGGCUCGCACAGAAAUACCACACAUACCACACGAAAGCGCAGGAGCAGAGCUUUCAUGUGAUAUCACACACAUCAUUGUGCUGUCAUCCCAUCACGCUAUACAUACAGAUAAAUUGUCUACAAAAUGAAAACCUGACGAAUUUCUUUACGAUCCAUUAUACAGAUCUUGUUAUCAGUCACUUCAUAUAGUGAGGAAUAUCGUAUCUUACCACGUCUUGGGCUUGUGUGUGUUUCUCCCUGUCUAUCCACAUUUGUAGUCAAGAUGCAAUUAUCUCCAGAUUGUCCAGUUGACACUCCAUCAAACUUUGUAUGACAAGACCAGCCACUUCACAUUUGCAUACCCAGACAACUGUAGCCUAAUUAUGCAUGCUGACAGGGCAGUAGUCACCAUAUACAUUGAGGGGGACACGUGCCCCCCCCUCUCCAGUAUAUCACUGAAACUGAAAAACAACAACAAAAAAUGUUCAGGUCAGGUCAAAGAGCAGUGAUACUAUGUGAUGUGCAUUGUAUUAAGUUGUAGGGAAUGCCUGCAUUUAUUUCUUUAAUCAGAACACAAAAUUAAUUUCCACUUAGCUAUAAUAAAAUGUUUUCUGAUUAAGACUGACAAUGACUCAGUGAAUACCUUACUCAGUUUUAUUUGAUUAAUGGUAAAACAGGUCUCUGUUUACAUUCAAAGGUAUUUGUGUGGGCAAACUGAUGAAAAUUAGUCUGUUGAUGACCACAGUGGAUUGUUCAGUCAUUGUAGAGCCAAAUUAAUUCAAAUUUACCCACUGAACGGGUCACUUCAGCCAUCAUCACAACAAUUGCCCCCCCUGAGAAAUUUGGCAACAGCCGCCACUGCACAACACUAAACAUAUCAACAUCAAGAUGACACCAAGUUUGGAAGCUUAAGACCACCAUCUAGUUUAGAUAACUGUAAGGUUUUAAGUCUAAUUCUAGGGCGCUUUUUUUGCCAUAUGAAAUGUGAAAUUAUUUUAUCCAGCUUAUCAAAAGUUGACUUUGGAAUUUCAACAGGUAACAUCUGAAAUAAAUAAAGCAGCCUUGGCAGAACAUUCAUACGGAUACUUUCAACACAACCAAUCAGGCAGAGGGGUAGCACAGACCAUCGUUCCAAAUCACUAGUAAUGCAUCGAAUCAUUUUACCAUAGUUAGCUUCAUACAAAUUAUGUAAAAAGGGGGGAAUAUAUAUGCCAAGGUAUUUAAUACCUUCUUUAGAUGUAUAUGUAUAUAUAUAUAUAGCUAAAGUCUGCUGGUUUUCUACCCGGAAGUAUUUGUAAACAACAAGGCGAUUCCCUCUAUUUAUACUGCUACAGCGUCAGGGGGCGUGUUUGUAGCAGGGAUAGCUCCAUUACAUAAUGCGGCUAUGAUUUAAGGCCCGCCCACUAAAUCCAGAACACAGACACCUAGAAACACAGUUUGUGAAGCCUAGCUCCACAAUUCAAUUGUAAAUGGUUGAAAGGCUUUUUUUUUUUUUUUCUUUGUUUACACAUUUUGAGGAAUACUUUUAUGACCUAUUUAAUGUGUUUUGAAGAAAAUAGCAGUGUGGUAUUGUUGAUAUUGGUUUUGUCAGGUAAAGUAAUAAUAAAUAAAUAAAUAAAUAAUAAAUAAUUUUAUGCUCUUCUUUAUUUAUAACAAUUCUUUUUAUAUUAUCACUGUCUCUGAUAAGCUGGGCCAGCGGUUUGAUGCUAAUGGCGAACAGCAGUGGUGAUAGAGAGCAGCCUUGUCUGCAUCCUUGUUACAAUGUAAACCUCUCUGAUCUAUACCCAUUGACUUUAAUAGCCGCCUGUGGAGAUGAGUAUAAUGUUUGUAUCUAAUUUAUAAAAUUAGGGCCAAAUUAAAACCGCUUUAAUGUCAGAAAUAAAUAUUGCCAUGAGACCCGGUCGGUCAAAUGCCUUUUGAGCAUCCAGAGAUAAAAUCAUUGAUUGUGAUUGCUGAUCUUUUUGAUGGGAUAUUAUAUUUAGUAGGCACCGUAAAUUAACUCCAUAGUAUCUUCCAGUAAUAAAUCCAGUCUGAUCAGUAUGAAUAAUUUGGGUGAUUAUCUGAUUAACUCGUCUGGCUAGAAUUGCUGUGAGUAUACGCAGAUCAGCAUUCAAUAAUGAUAUUGGUCUGUAGGACUGGCGUUCAGUGGGGUCUUUACUCUUUUUGAGUAUUACUACAAUAGUUGCCUCUGUCCAGAAUGGUGCCAUAGUUUUAGAUUCUAAUGCAUAAUGAUAUGCUUUUAACAAUAGGGGAGACAGUAGAUCUUUAAAAGUUUUGUAAAAUUCAUUAACAUAUCCAUCUGGCCCGGGGCUUUUGUUUUUUUUGAGUGUCGAGAUCACCUGCUUAAUCUCCCAUUCCUCUAUAGGCUCAUCUAACGCCUUAGUUGUUGGUUCUGACAGUUAAGCAGGGUUCAACGCUAAGGUUUUUUUUCACUUGCCUGGUCGGGCAAGUUGGUCAGAUGUUUACUUGCCCGAAGUCAGUUUUUACUUGCCCUAAAAAAAUUGUUUAAUUUAAGCGGCUAUCAAUUAACAAAGACUGCAGUUAUUUUUAUGUUAUGUAAUCUUUAUUCACACUGUAUUUAUUAAUUAUAACAACAUACGUCAUGUAUUGUAGCUUAAUUCCUACACAAAUAUGACAGUGUCAGGGCUUGAAGUGAAAAAUUUGUCAAUCAUUCUCCGUCUAUAAUUUUGCGCCCUACUUGAGCCAUGCCCACCUCUAUUUAUUUUUCACCCCUCUCUCCAGUUCUGCUGUAUUAACACCGGGUUUAAUAUAUUUUGCUUCCAUCUCUCUGCCCUGCUCUACUUUACUUCAACGCUACUCAGCUCUCUCUCUACUCUACCAGCAGACUACCACAUCCACCUGUUGCACAAAAUGCACACAGCAGUGUUUCCCCUAGGAUGGAGUUGUAGCAGCGGAGGUGAAGCACACUGUCCAUAACAAUAACUUUGUCAGCUGACAAACUGCACCGGGCUCGGGGUCAGGUUUGGUCAGGUUUUAAGUCAAUUUUAUGCGGUUUAGGAACUCUAUGAUUUUUACAUCAUCAGAACACGUAUCUGUAUUGUUAUAUAAGGAUUUGUAAAACUAUGCAAAGGAUUUAGCUAUUUUAUCCGGUUUUGUGACGUAGGUAGCUUGUGAUUUUAUUCUCUGUACUGUAUUAGAUGAUUGGUGUUUCCUCAAUCUAAAUGCCAAUAAUCUACUUGCCCUGUUACCAUAUUCGUAGUAUCUUUGAUUAGUGAAUCUUAAGUUUCCCUCAAUCUUGUCUGUUAGAAGAUUAUUAAGUUCUCUGCGAGCUGCAUUUAAAUCCUUUGUGAGACUAGUCGGAGCGGAUUGUUUGUGUUUAUGUUCUAGUUCUUUUAUUUUAUCUUCUAACUCAUGUUCUUUAUCAUCCCUCUCCUUUUUCCUAGCAGAUGUAAAGGAGAUAAUGCGCCCCCUAAUGUAUGCUUUUGCACAAUCCCACAGUAUAAGAGGUGUUGUUUCAGGUGAGGCAUUGAUAUCCAAAUAGCUGUUGAGCUGUGCUGUGAUGAAGGAGGUAAAUAUUUUGUCAUCAAGGAGAGAUGCAUUAAGUCUCCAUCUAUGGCCUAUGUCCCACUUUAAUAAAACAGGUGCAUGAUCAGAGAUGGUAAUAGGCAGUAUCUCAGUGUCUGCAAUCCUAUGUAAUUCUACCUGAGGUGUAAAGAAGAGAUCAAUCCUUCAUUAAUAAUAAUAAUAAUAAUAAUAAUAAUAAUAAUAAUAAUAGACACAUAAUAAUAAUGUGUCUGCUUGAAUAGAAAGUGAAGUUCCUACUUCUUGGAAAUUUACUCCUCCAUACAUCCGCAAGGCCUGCUUCUAUAGAUUGAUACUUAAGUACUUUACUCAUUCUGGAUACAGGAGCUUUAGAGGCAGGUUGUCGGUCCAUUAGUUGCGACAACACAUAAUUAAAAUCUCCUCCCAUCAAUAACCAGAGCUGUAUCGUAAUAUCAUAGUAAACAGUGUUGUGAUGAAACUAGGAUCAUCCUCGUUGGGUGCAUAUACAUUUAUGAGGGACACUUCUAUGCCAUCAAUUAGUCCAUUAACCAAGAUAUAUCUCCCCUCAGUAUCUCUAUGUAGUGAUGUCUGAGUGAAAUGUAUUUGUCUGUGUUUAAGAAUGGAUACUCCCCCUCUUCCUGCCCGAUCGGUGUGAGGAAUAGUAUAUUUCGUCUGCCCAGGAUUUCCUUAGCUUUUCAUGUUCCACGUCAGAUAAAUGGGUUUCCUGUAGGAAUGCUAUUUGACAGUUGACUCAUUUCAGUUGGUGUAAAAUUUUCUCUUUUAACAGGACUAUGAAGACCCUUAACAUUAUAGCUUAUAAUAGUGUGCCCAUUACUUACAAUUUACAGUUUAUGUCUUAAUUCCCUGAUAUUACAAGCUAGGAGAAAGAGAUGGCAAGCAGAAACAAUCAAUCCAUGCUUGGGUAGUAUACUCUGUCACGCGAGUUAUGAGGAGUGGAGCCCAAUAGUGACACCAGAAGGAGUGGAAUAAGUAAAAAUAUUUACGACAGCUGUACCAAGAAUUUUUAACAUCAAUAAAAGUAGUAGGAAUCUGGAUAGGAAAAAGAAAUUAUAACAUUGUUGUUUCUGCAUUUAACGCAGGAUCCUCUGGGAAUAGGAGGAUCAGAACAAGAAGAACACAACACGUAGUAAAACUAUAAUUAACUAACAUUGACAGUAGUACAGUGGGACCUAGUCCCUAGCCACUAAGGCAAGCAGCAAAAGUGCACAGUCUAGUUUGAGUUUGACUGUGCUUUGAGUGUGCUAAGAUAAGAAGGAAAAGAACAGGGUGAAAGAAAAAAAAAGUUAUCAUGUGUUAGCCAUUCAUUGCCUGAGUGUCAGACUGAAGCUCGCAGAACCUUCAGUCUGACAUUGCCUCCAUUGAAGGCGAUUUACAAGGGGGAGGGAAUUUGAUUUUUCCCUAACCAAUCAGUAGAGAUCAACGACUCACCCAGAAUCUGACGUCAUUAGUAUCCAUGCCUCGGGGGUGCCAAAAACAAGCGAGCAUUGCCCGUUUAAAAUGUCUCCGUUGUCGUGCACACCCAGCUGCAUCGCCGUUAAAUCCAGUUUAGCAGCUUCCUUAAUUUGGUCCUCCAUUAAUGCGAGUAGUGGCGAAAUACCUCGAUAGCAUCGUUAAUGUGGUCUGUAGGAUCUGUAGCGGUAGCCAUUAUUGCUAUCCUCACCAGUUACCCACCAGCGUACAGCUUGACAUCAGCGUGGCGCUGAUUGGCUAAUCGCAAGACCCGCCCCCACCCCCAGCGUUCAUUGGUCCGUCCAUUGUUUGGAUGAGAUAAAUCGCAAAUUCAUUGCAGUAUGCCAGACCAGAGAUGCAAGCCUACUCAGUUGAGUGGGCGGGGUCUAUGGUCUGGAACCAGGCUAAGCCAUUCAGGCUUCUGCAGCCUAGCAGAUGUAUAAGAAUCAAACAGCUUCUCUCUCUUCUGUAUUACACACGUUGUAAUUUAGUUAAGAAUGUUGUCUUCUCUUAUGAAGGUAGGCCUAUAUUAGUAAAACAGAUAGUGAUAAAUGAGUAAUACUAAUAACAAUAUGAACUGUGAAGCAUUAGAACAGGUAGUUUAUGUAAAAUAAUAAUAAUAAUAAUAAUAAGUGUUCAGGUAAGGUGUGUGGGGCUCUGCUCACCCUAUUUGAGACACCAUAUGAGGUUCUACCAGAAAAUAGCGAAGAGUAACGAACAAAUCAAUAGUGUGAAAAGACAGAAGUUACUCUUCUUCAUCUUUAGUUCUUAGUGUUGUUACCAGUACAAGGGAGAAUAUACUCAGGCUUCAGUCUCUGCCGCUGGAACAACUGUCUUUUGAACAUAUUCAUGGCCUUUUCGGGGUCCAGAAAGUCCUUGUCCUCAUCCUUGUAUGAAAUCCGAAGUCUGGCCGGAUAAAAUAGUCCGUAUCGGACUCCUUGACGUCCUCGUAGCACCUUUCGUAUGUCUGUGAAUGCAGCUCUGGCUUUGGCAACGCUGGAGGUGUAGUCGGGGAAUAUGGCGAUGCGGUUCCCGUUAUAGAUGAGAGGGGCUCUAUCUCUGGCUCUCCUAAGGAUCUCCACAGCUUCUCCAUCGUAGUGUAACUUUGCAAUUAUCACCCGGGGCUGGUCUCCUGGCUUUCUGGGAGCGAGGGUCCGAUGCGAGCGGUCAAUUUUUAUCUCCCAAUCCAUCUGCAGGACUUCUUUAAUAACUUUGGCGACCGCUUAGGGGGAGCUGGAAUCCGGCUGCUCCUCAAUGCCAACGAUGCUAUUACCCCGUCUCAUUCUCCCCUCCAUGUCCUUGUAUCGGUCUUUUAAAGUUGUCACUUGGCUUUGAAGGCUGGUUACUAAUCUAAUUGCCACCAUGUUGUUUCAAAUUUUGGACCGUACCACUCGCAGUUCUAAUUUGAGGGCGUCAAAAUCCUCCACCAGUGCACUUUUAAGUUCGUCCCUUAUGAUUCUUAUGACUGUGAUUCUAGAACAUGCGCUUCAGCUAGUAGCAGCAAAGUCUGGUAGCUCUGCAAUUUUACUUAGUUUUACUGAAUGUUUAUUAUAUUUUUCUCAACUACUAAUGGAUACUUCUGUGCAGAGAAGAGUUUAUUCAAGAGAGGAGCUUUUUUUUUUGUUGAAACAGAGCAAGUCUGGAGGACACCAUCCUAUUCCAGCUGAAAUGAAGAGGUGUUUUGGUGGUUGCCGUGCUGGUGCAAAGGUGAAGGCUUGGAAAUGGAGAUAUAAGCCCUUUCUGCCAUCAGUCAUCAUGGGAAAUGUCAACUCUCUGCCCAACAAAAGUGAUGAAGUGGAGAUAUUGGUGAAGACUCAGAAAGUAUACAGUGAGUGCAGUCUCAUGUGUUUUACGGAAACAUGGUUGAAUCAAAACAUCUCAGACUCCAACAUGGAUCUACCUGGCUUCACUCUCAUACGAUCAGACAGAGACUCUAAAGCUAGUGGCAAGAAAAAAGGCGGGGGCCUGGCUUUAUUUGUGAACCAGAGAUGGUGCAGUCCUGCACAUAUUACUGUCAAGGAGAAGAUGUGUUGUCCAGAUAUUGAACUUUUGGCAGUUGGUGUGAGGCCAUAUUAUGUACCAAGAGAAUUCAGUCAUAUAACAAUACUAGUGUACAUCCCACCCAAGGCAACUGCUGAAGUUCCAUGUGAAGUUCUCUAUGAACUCGUUGCUAAGAUACAGACUAAACAUCCUGAGGCACUACUGAUAAUAUCAGGAGACUUCAACCAUGUUUCCCUCUCCUCUCAUCUGACUGGAUUUACACAGUUUAACUGUCCAACCAGAGAAAAUAAAACCCUUGAUCUGCUGUAUGCCAAUGCCAAGGAAGCUUACAGAAACACUGCCUUACCACCACUGGGCAGGUCAGAUCACAACUUAGUUCUUCUGCAGACAUGUUAGCCUACAAACCCUGUGUGUGGAGGCAGCCUGCAACUAAACUCACAGUCAGGACAUGGACACCAGAGGCUACUGAGGUUCUAAGAGAUAUUUUUGAAUGCACAGACUGGGAUGUGCUGCUGGAAACAGAGGAGAACAUCAUGGACAUUGAUAGACAGGUUGACUGUUUUACUGAUUACAUUAACUUCUGUAGAGACACAGUCAUACCUACAAAGAAUGUAUGCUGUUUCCACAAUAACAAACCUUGGAUUACCAGUGACAUAAAGGCAAUCCUCAAUGAGAAGAAGGCAGCUUUUAGAGAUGGUGACAAAGCACGGCUCAAACAAGUGCAACAUGAGUUGAAGAAGAGACUUAAGAUGGCAAAGGUGGAAUACAAAAAUAAACUGGAGAGGAAUCUACAACAUCCGUGAAAUGUUGAGGAGUCAACACCAUCUCUGGUUACAACAAUAAGAAAGACAGCCAGUGGUGGGUGAUGCAGAAAGAGCUGAUGAACUCAAUCGGUUCUUCAAUAGAUUCAAUACGGCAGCCACUCCCGCUUACAAUGCUGCUUCUCCUCCUCCUCCUCCAUCACCUCCACCUCCACAGCUUGUGUACAACUCCAAUGUGGCAGCGCUUCUGUGAAAAUCAUGUUCUUUGAUUUUUCAAGCGCAUUCAACACCAACUCCAACCCAACAUACUUAAAGACAAGCUCACAGAGAUGGCAGUGGAUCCUUCCUUUAUAUCCUGGAUCACAGAUUACCUGACAGGAAGGCCACAGUAUGUCAGGUUGGGAACUGUGUUUCUGGGACAUUAAUGAGCAGCACGGGGGCUGUCCUGGCUCCAUUCCUGUUCACACUGUACACGGUGGACUUCAAAUACAACUCUGAGUCCUGCCACAUCCAGAAAUACUCGGACGACACUGCUAUUGUGGCGUGUAUCAGGAAUGGGCAGGAGUCUGAAUAUAGGGACCUGAUAAAAGCCUUAAGUGACUGGAGUCAAAAGAACUGUCUCCUCCUGAACACCUCAAAGACCAAGGAAAUGAUCAUAGAUUUCCGCAGGUCCAAGCCCCCUCUUCAGCCAGUGAAUACCUGUGAGGUGGACAUCGAGGUGGUACCAAGCUAUACUGUAAGUAUCUAGGUGUACACCUGGAUAACAAGUUGGACUGGUCCCUAAACACAGACGCUCUCUACAAAAAGGGGCAGAGCUGCCUUUUUUUCUUGAGGAAGCUCAGAUCUCUCGACAUCUUUAGUAAGAUGCUGCAGAUGUUUUAUCAGUCUGUGGUGGCAAGUGUGUUGUUUUAUGCUGCAGUCUGCUGGGGAGGAAGGAUCAGACACAAAGAUGCAAGGCGGCUGGACAAACUAGUCAAAAGAGCUGGCUCUGUGAUUGGAGUCAGGUUGGACACAUUGGAGGAGGUGGUGGAGAGAUGCACACUGAAGAUGUUCGAGGCCAUCAUGAACAACCCAGAUCAUCCACUCCACAACACCAUGAUGGACCAAAAAAACUGUGGUGAACGGCUCCUCUCUCUUUGAUGCAGGACAGAGAUACAGAAGAUCCCAUAUACCAACAGCCAUCAGGCUUUAUAAUUCUUUGACAUAUAAUAGAUGAGCUGACAGAUAAUUGAAUUUCCCCUUGGGGAUGAAUAAAGUUAUUGUUAUUGUUAUUCUUAUGACUGUAGAGAUUUCUCCCCUCAAGGAAGAUAAAAUGUCUGCCUUCAUUUCUUCAGAGGCCAUACCUGGGCUUUCACUCCAAGUGGGUGAGGUUUGAACUUGGCUGUCCGGUGUGCGCUGCCUCGUGUUUCUCGCAGGCCGUGGAGCACUGGCACUACUGCCAUAUUUGUAUUUUUGGAGCUUUUCUGCCAUACAAACUCGAUUCUGACUAUGUACAUUGAGUUAUGGUGUCCUUGGUGAGCUUCAAUGCUGGACUUGAUGCCGAAAUAGCUGUUUUUAUAAGAAAAUAUGGUAGAUUCUGCAGGAGCUCUGAAAAAGACAUCUUACUCCAUACCUUUGCUCACUAAGCUAACUAAGCCCUGCCAUCAUAGCCAGUCUGAUUAAAGGGCCACUGUGUAAAAUGGGUUGAAAACCGUUGAAAACAGUGACAUCAGUGGUCAAAUUCUAGAUUGCAGGGCUCACUCGCUCACCCCUCCUGUCGGGUAAAUGACGGUGGCCUCGUAGGGACAAAAAGCCUUGUGCAGACACAAGUUUUUCAGGAGUAGGUCUAUCUAGCGACGAGGUGAAUAUUUAUUUAGAAAUCUAAACCAUGUUACGAUAUUGUAAUGAAUCCCUCACGAGCAGGAGACCAGAGUAGCGUUCGGGAAAAAAGCCAGUUUAUUUGAGCACUCCAAAAACUCCGGUAACACUCCAGGGGGUAGCACGUAAAAGACUCCGUCCCAAACUCUGACUCUUCUAGUGUAACACACACACUUCAUACACACAUACUCACUUACAGUACCCAGCGGGGCUGCCCUCCCCUCUCUGCUCCACCAAUCUCCAGCCCGCACACUGACUGUCAGCAUAGCCAGUAAACAAAACUCAGUUGUUUAUUUAGCCUAGCAAUAUCUCCGGACUAUAGUAGCUGCAAUGGACGACUUUGAACGCGAUUUUGAGGAGUUUCUUGUAGCGGACACAAAUCCAGAGCCAUACCUGUUUGCCAUACCUGUUGAAAAGCGCCGCAGAGAGUGCAUCACAAGGAGUGAAGUUGCGUCUUCUUUUCCUCGCAGAUGACUGUUCGGGUUCAUUCUCUCCUGUUGCGUGGUAAGUGUGGUCCAUUCCAUACUACUCUCUAUCGACGAACUACUAACUACUAACUAACGCUGUUUCCUCCUCCUUCCUUCCUUCCGCUGUCUUUGUUGGUUUAUUUAUACACGCGAAACGCAUUCUCUGGCUGGCUGAACUUCUUUGUUUUACAAAAUCAGCCUGGUCGGACUUUUCCUUGUAGUGUUAUUAAGCUGUUUCCCAGUGUUUAUAGGGGUUUUCAUUAGAUGGGGGGGAGGGAUUAAUAAUGUGUUUUUUUUCCACUGCUUUGUUUCUUUUCUUUUCUUUUCUUUUCUCUGCUCUUGUACUCAGUGUCAGCAUCAUUAUUAUUGGUCACAUGUCACAAUAUCCUGGUAAUGUUUAUACAUGGCUGCUAGUUGUUCUCCAGCCUCGCCACAAUGGGGCAAUCUAACCUUGCUAAGCUGGAACGUCAGAGGUCUAGGGACCAAUUUAAAGAGAGAGAGAGGCAAGGUUUUCUCACAUUUAAAAUCUUUAUCUUGGGACAUUUUUUUUUACAAGAAACGCAUAUCAAACACGAGGAGAAAUGGAGGCUAAAACGUAGCUGGGUGUCUCAAAUCUAUCAGUCAACAUUCUCUUCUAAAGCCAGAGGUGUAGCCAUCUUAACACGCCGUAACAUUCCAUUUGAACAUAUUUCAACCAUCUCUGACCCGAAUGGUCGCUAUCUCAUUGUAAGGGGUCAUAUUCUUUCACGGCAUGUAACGUUUUUGAACAAAUAUGCGCCCAAUUUUGACGACCCAGGUUUUUUUAGAAAAGUGUUUAAUCUUAUUCCAGACUCCUCUACCACCCAUUUAAUCGCGGGUGGAGAUUUCAAUGCUAUAUUAGACUGUUUCACCAAUAGGCUUUCCACCCGCCCUACAGUUCCUUCUAAUACCACAUACACUACAAUUUCACACAUACACAAAUCAUAUACUAGAAUUGACUAUUUCCUGAUAGAUGCCAAAUUGACUUCUUAUGUAACCUAUAUCAUAACAUUUUAAUUUCAGAUCACAGCCCUGUUGAACUAAAAAUUGACUUAGGCAUUGCAAAACCCGCAUUUGAUUGGCAAUUCAACCCAUUAUUACUCAACAAUAUGCACUUUCGCCAGCAUAUAGCUAACCUGCUAACAGACUAUCUAUCCCACAAUGACACGUCUGAUGUAACCGACUCCACUCUGUGGGAAACUUUCGAAGCUGUUAUGCGUGGCCAUAUCAUAGCUUACGAGGCCAAGUUGAAAAAAGACAUACUGAAGGAAUUAUCAGAAAUUACAGCUCAGCUUUCGGUCCUUGAAAGAGACUACACAACGACCCCCUCACCCUCAAAACUGAAUAAUAUUUUGGAGCUUAAAUUCAAAUAUAACACUAUUCUUUCUAACCAAGUGAGUAAAAUGCUAUUAAAAGUCAAAGACAAAAACAUUUUGAAUUGGCUGAUAAGCCAGACAAACUGUUAGCCCAUCAGCUCAGAAGCAUUCAAGAUAACCAAGCAAUCCAUAAGAUUAGGACAAAGUCAGGUAUCUCCUCGGACCCGAAAGAGAUUAAUGAAUCCUUUCGCAAAUUUUAUGAAGACCUCUACACUUCAAAGACCACCACUAAAACAGCACAAAUUUCUGAUUUCUGAUUCCUUUGUUAUCUUCACUUGCCCAAAUUGAACCCCUCAGCACAAACUGACUUAAACAGAGCAAUAACGCUAGAGGAGGUCGCUGGGGCAAUACGUUCCUUCCCUAAUGGAAAGCCGCCGGCCUGGACGGAUUUCACAUCGAGUUUUACAAAGAAUACUCGGACAAUUCUCAGAUUAACUCAUAUUGCAGUGGUGCCUGGACAGCGUGACGUGUGUGGUUGUGCUGCUGCCGUGGUCCUGCCAGAUGCCUCCUGCUGCUGCUGCCAUCAUUAGUCAUUAGUCAUUAGUCAUACUUCUACUGUUAUUAAACACAUACACAUUAUGACUAUUGUCACACAUGUAUACUGCCAGAUAUUAAUACAUACUUUCAACAUAUAUAUAUAUAUAUAGCAAGAACUAUAACUAUAAUAUUAUUACUUUCAAUAAUGUUGUUGUAAGCUACUGUCAUUACCUGCAUAUAUAUCUAUCUCUCUCUCUUUCUCUCUCUCUCUCUCUCAUUGUGUCAUACGGAUUACUGUUAAUUUAUUAUGCUGAUCUGUUCUGUACGACAUCUAUUGCACGUCUGUCCGUCCUGGAAGAGGGAUCCCUCCUCAGUUGCUCUUCCUGAGGUUUCUACCGUUUUUGUCCCCGUUAAAGGGGUUUUUUUGGGGAGUUUUUCCUUAUCCGCUGCGAGGGUCAUAAGGACAGAGGGAUGUCGUAUGCUGUAAAGCCCUGUGAGGCAAAUUGUGAUUUGUGAUAUUGGGCUUUAUAAAUAAAAUUGAUUGAUUGAUCGA